rnacentral:rRNA from 1 species
GACGAAGGAUGCAAGCGUUAUCCGGAUUCAUUGGGUUUAAAGGGCGCGUAGGUGGUCUUAUAAGUCAGUGGUGAAAUCUCGCAGCUUAACUGCGAAACUGCCAUUGAUACUGUAGGACUUGAGUAUAGUUGCUGUGGGCGGAAUAUGACAUGUAGUGGUGAAAUACUUAGAGAUGUCAUAGAACACCGAUUGCGAAGGCAGCUCACAAAACUAUAACUGACACUGAGGCGCGAAAGUGCGGGGAGCAAACAGG